ensembl:ribozyme
AGAGGUUUCAAGUUUAAGGCUGUAGCAGAAGUGUUCUUGGCAUGGCCUGUCAGAUUCUAUUGAAUCUGCAAUUUCUGCU